rnacentral:rRNA from 1 species
GACAGAGGGUGCGAGCGUUGUUCGGAAUUACUGGGCGUAAAGCGCGCGCAGGCGGAUCCUGCAAGUCGGAAGUGAAAUGUGGCUGCUCAACGGCCACGCUGCUUCCGAUACUGCGGAUCUGGGGACCGGUAGAGGCUGGUGGAAUUGCAGGUGUAGCGGUGGAAUGCGUAGAGAUCUGCAAGAACACCCGUGGCGAAGGCGGCCAGCUGGGCCGGAUCCGACGCUGAGGCGCGAAAGCGUGGGGAGCGAACAGG